UACGAAGGGGGCUAGCGUUGCUCGGAAUCACUGGGCGUAAAGCGCACGUAGGCGGAUUGCUAAGUCAGGGGUGAAAUCCUGGAGCUCAACUCCAGAACUGCCUUUGAUACUGGGGAUCUCGAGUCCGGAAGAGGUGAGUGGAACUCCGAGUGUAGAGGUGAAAUUCGUAGAUAUUGGGAAGAACACCAGUGGCGAAGGCGGCUCACUGGCCCGUAACUGACGCUGAGGUGCGAAAGCGUGGGGAGCAAACAGG
rnacentral:rRNA from 1 species